GGGGCUGUAGCUCAGUUGGCUAGAGCGCAUGGUUCGCAUCCAUGAGGUCGUGGGUUCGACUCCCAUCAGCUCCACGA
rnacentral:tRNA from 1 species